GCCUGCAGGUUAGCUCAGUUGGUAGAGCACGAGACUUAUAAUCUCAGGGUUGUGAGUUUGAGCCCCACGUUGGGCA